AAGGAUCAUUAUUGAAUGAAUGUAGAGUUGGUUGUCGCUGGCCCUUUCGGGGGUAUGUGCACGCCUUCUCUUUCAUCCACACACACCUGUGCACUUGUGAGACGGAGGGCUUUAAUUAGUCUUCCGUCUAUUCAACCACACAAACUCAUUGUAUUUAAACUGAAUGUAAUUGAUGUAACGCAUCAUUAGAACUAAGUUUCAACAACGGAUCUCUUGGCUCUCGCAUCGAUGAAGAACGCAGCGAAAUGCGAUAAGUAAUGUGAAUUGCAGAAUUCAGUGAAUCAUCGAAUCUUUGAACGCACCUUGCGCUCCUUGGUAUUCCUUGGAGCAUGCCUGUUUGAGUAUCAUGAAAUUCUCAAAGUAAAUCUUUUGUUAAUUCAACUGGUUUUGCUUUGGACUUGGAGGUCUUUGCAGAUUUCACGUCUGCUCCUCUUAAAUGCAUUAGCUGGAUCUCAGUAUAUGCUUGGUUCCACUCGGCGUGAUAAGUAUCACUCGCUGAGGACACUGUAAAAGGUGGCCAGGAAAUACAGAUGAACCGCUUCUAAUAGUCUAUUAAGUUAGACAAUUAAUUUUAAGAUCUGAUCUCAAAUCAGGUAGGACUACCCGCUGAACUUAAGCAUAUCAAUAAGCGG
rnacentral:rRNA from 1 species